ensembl:lncRNA
UCCACAGGGCUAGAGUCACUUAGCUCCAGGUGCACAAUUCUAAUGUAUGAAUAUACUUUUCUAUUCUAAAUCCACAUGGGCAAAAUGGCUCAGUGUAAUGUUAGAAUUCGUCUACUACAUACCAAGCACUGGAACAGGUAAACGUUUUACAUACAUCCUCUCUAAUCUUUGCAACAUUCCACAAAGUAAGGGUUAUUUUACCCACUUAAAAGUCACUGGAUGCCGGGCGCGGGUGGCUCAGGCCUGUAAUCCCAGCACUUUGGGAGGCUGAGGCCGGCGGAUUGCGAGGUCAGGAGAUCGAGAUCACCCUGGCUAACACGGUGAAACCCCGUCUCUACUAAAAAUACAAAAAUGAAUUAGCCAGGCGUGGUGGCAGGCGCCUGUAGUCCCAGCUACUCGGGAGGCUGAGGCAGGAGAAUUGCUUGAACCUGGGAGGAGGAGGUUGCAGUGAGCCUACAUCGCACCACUGCACUCCAGUCUGGGCUUAUAUUUAAAGUGGUGACUUUUAAAGAAAAGUAAAUUGGACAGUAUGUUAAGCCCAUAAGACAUGACUAAUUUAUGACAUUCAGUAGCAAAUAUCAACAUAAUUCCUGACACUUAACUCUCACGGAUACAAGCUGCUCAAGUGCUUAUAGGCUAAGUCCACAGAGAUAAGUCAUUUUCUGAUCCUUAGUUUCUACAACAAAACACAAAGUCAAGAGCAAAGAAACCUGUACAUUUCCGAGAAAAGUAGAAAAAUAAAGAAACAGACUAUGGUGGCUUAUUUUCAAAACUAUAUCUACUUCAUCCAAGUAUUUAAGUACUUUCUUCUGAAAUCUUGAAAAAUAAAACCUUUUUAGAAUUUGAUAUAUGACCUAAUGUCUCUUUAUAUGGCUUCUUCAUAUAUAAGUGGUAACAGGCCAUUCAAAUAUAAGUCAUUAUCAGCAUGAUUUUUUUACUAAUAACCUGUGGUAUUGGACAAAAGCUUUAGAGCAAGACCUGCUGAGGAAAAGAACAAUUAAGGCAAUAAAAAACAUGUUAAGGUAACAAUUAACUGAUUAGCACAGGAUCUUUUCUCAUUAUGGUGGGAACAGUUGCAAUUCCUUUUCUAUGGAAAAGAGUCAUUAGGAGAAUAGAAUGAAUUAGCAUGGAUAAAGCACUUACUAUAAUAAACAUCAUAAAAUAUCAGUUACGUAAGUAAACGAAUUAAUAAACAUGGAAAACCACAUCAUGCACAUACAUUCAAUAAUACCUACUUUUGAAGGUGGUCAUGUUCUUUCAGAAAUAGCUCAGUUCUUCUGUUGUUUACUCCAGACCCACUUUUACAUGACCUGGGACAAAAGAGAAAAUUUAUAAACAUUUUUGGCAGAGGAUACAAAAUCAGAGGAACUGAGUGACCCUAGUGAUCUUGAAAGUAGAUACAUUGGCCGGGCGCGGUGGCUCAAGCCUGUAAUCCCAGCACUUUAGGAGGCUGAGGCAGGCGGAUCACAAGGUCAGGAGAUCAAGACCAUCCUGGCUAACACGGUGAAACCCCGUCUCUACUAAAAAUACAAAAAAUGAGUCAGGCGUGGUGGCGGGCGCCUGUAGUCCAGCUACUCGGGAGGCUGAGGCAGGAGAAUGGGGUUAACCUGGGAGGCGGAGCUUGCAGUGAGCCAAGAUUGUGCCAUUGCACUCUAGCCUGGGUGACAGAGCGACACUCCGUCUCAAAAAAAAAAAAAAGAAAAAA